GACAGAGGGUGCGAACGUUGCUCGGAAUUACUGGGCGUAAAGCGCGUGUAGGCGGACGCGCAAGUCAGGUGUGAAAUCCCUGGGCUCAACCCAGGAACUGCAUCUGAAACUGCAUGUCUAGAGUGUCGGAGAGGGAAGCGGAAUUCCUGGUGUAGAGGUGAAAUUCGUAGAUAUCAGGAGGAACACCGGUGGCGAAGGCGGCUUCCUGGACGAUUACUGACGCUGAGACGCGAAAGCGUGGGGAGCAAACAGG
rnacentral:rRNA from 2 species